rnacentral:rRNA from 1 species
UACGUAGGUGGCAAGCGUUGUCCGGAUUUACUGGGCGUAAAGGGCGUGCAGGCGGUCUGUUAAGUCUAGGGUGAAAGCUCCCGGCUCAACUGGGAGAGGUCCUUGGAUACUGGCGGACUUGAGGGAGGCAGAGGAAAGUGGAAUUCCCGGUGUAGUGGUGAUAUGCGUAGAUAUCAAGAGGAACACCUGCGGCGAAGGCGGGUUGCUGGGCCGACACUGACGCUGAGGCGCGAAAGCUAGGGGAGCGAACGGG